AUUGCUGGUGAGUGGCACGCAAGAUAGAGAAUAUGCCAUAACAGAGAGAGAGAGAUAUGAACAUUUGUCCGAACAUAAACUCAUGAAUACAGCGAUUGUUUUACUUCGACACGGUGCUCGUAGAAGACAAGACAACCCAUUUGUGAAAGUUGAAGGCUUGUUGUAAGUGCAGUCUCAAUGCCCACUCUCUCAAGUCUCAACAACCAUGCAUUGAUUUCUGAGUGUUCUAAAGACUAACCCGUAUUUUACUUACUUCAUGGGUGCGGAAGACUGUGGUGAAAGAAUUUAGCUCACUCCAUCGCAUAAGUAAUUCUUGACUUCUUCUGUAUUUAACUAGAGCUGACAUUAGAAAAAACUCAUGGAGCAGGUCAGAAUGUUGCAAUGAGAACAAGUUUUUGGGACAAAAAAAGAUAUGGGAAUCGGAACCUGAAUAUAAAAUAGCGUCAACAGGAAGGCCUUCACCAAAAUCAGCCAUCCACCCUCUAACUCCAUCAUCCGCCAUUUCUCCUAGAAUCUGCUUGAACCAAGUUCCAGUCUUUGGGUGCGUUAAAUCUAGCAUUCCAACGUCAAAAGCCGUAUUUGGAACCAUGUAUGGAUUCCCAGUACAGUCUUUCACCAAUAUGUCCAACUGUUUUGCCUCCUCAAACAGGUUUCUCCUUUUGUUUUGCUUCUCAUCAACCUAUAGGAUCAGAGAAAAGGAAAAAGAAGAUUCAUAUAACUAGGCAAGCAUGUCUUACCAGGGGCACUACUACCAUGAUUUUAAUUGACUAGAAAGGAAUGAAGUUGUGAGAGCAAUGCUAAAGAAUAAUUAUGAACUAAUGAUAAAAAUGCUGUUUGAUUCGAGAGAAACAAGUUAAUGACAAUAACAUUUAUACUUGGAGUGUAAAAGAAGCAUUACCGGAGCUAGACAGGGAUUGCAAUAAGUCAUAACUUGAAUAUGCUGAGUGCUAAGUUCUUUGAUAAGUUCAUUCCACCCCCAAUAUCUUUGUGCAUCCACUUCCCAGUUCCACCAGAGUUGUGAACCAAUCAUUGUUUCUCUCUGCCCUACCCAAUCCUGUGACGUUUCCAGUAAAUAAUGAAGUUUCAAAACAACAAAGAAUCAUGAUAUUUGCGAGUCUGUGAGGGUGUGUGGACAAAUCCAGUUACGUGAAACCCAGUUGAUUUCUAGUGGCUUCCAAAGUUCUUGUUAGAAAUCUGUGUGCGUAAAUUACAUUACUUUAAUUCUUGCAAAUGGUUAGUUCAAAUCAAAUUGAAUAAGCUCUAAGCUCUAUAGAAGCAAAUAGUACUGUGAAUUACAGUAUUUUUUAUUGAAACAGGAUAGUGUAUAUGUCCUUAGAAUACUCCCCCCCUUUCUUUAAGUGUAGGACUGAGGGAUUACCUGCAACCAAAAUGCUGAGACAGGAACGUCAUGAGUCUUUAGUUCAUCCCAAAUAUGACGCACCGCAUCCGUGCCACCCUGCAUUCCAACUAUAGCACCAGAUACUAUCCACUCUGGAAGCUCAGGUAGCCUUCCGAUGGUUUCAGUGAAAUGUUCAAUCAGUUCACAAGCUAUUGUGAGAUGGACCACAUAAGGAGAGCCUUGGUGUGCUAUGGUUGACGUUGAUGCUGUGUGACUAGAUGCUCAAGACCUCUUGCAAAUAUCAGAUGAACAUCUCUGUCUUUGAUCAGAAAGGAUCCCCUGCUUUCUUCCACCUCUGUGUCAACAAGUGCAGCUGAAAUAAAAGCCUUCCCUGGGAUUGUAGACCAAAUGGAUCUGGUUGCCUGAGAAAGAUGAGAAAUUGAGAGGUGCCCACCAUUGAUGGAGGACCAAAGAAGCUGAAAAUCAUUGCCAAUUGAGAAGGUUUGAUCUGUGUGUAACGUUUUGGAAUUGAUGAACAGAGAACCUUGGACACAAGGAAUGUUGGUUGAAGCAGAAGAAGGGAAUGGGUUGUUGAAAAGCUUGUGGUGCUUUUUGCUUAUCUUAAGGAUUGCCAUGACAGAAAUAAACUUAGUAGAAGAGAAAUGAAAUGAUUAGUUUAAUGAUGUUUUUGAGUUCUUGGGUUACCUAUGAAGUUUUCUAUAGAUAGUUUUCCAUUGCAUGCAACACUAGAAAGAGGAUGGGAAGUCCCUUUUUUUGUCAAAAGAGGAUGGAAAAGUCCUUUAGCGUGUCAUAAGGCCCUAUUUGACUUCUAUUCAACAAAAGAAGAGUAUGGUAUGGUAUGGUCACAGCAACCAAAAUUGAUUGGUAUGGCAGUGAAGAGUUUGAUGACCAGAGAUUCCUUCUUAUGUCCAUUUAUAUUUAGGUAUUUUGGCAGGAGUUGGGUUUUCAAUAAUGGGAUAGAAUCGAUUUUAAGGGAAAAGUAAUUUUGGAUGUGCAUGUGACAUGCACUCCAAAGCACGUUAUUUCAAAAGCUACA